rnacentral:rRNA from 2 species
AGGUGCUUGAGUCUUGAUUUAAUUUUGAACGAGUGGCGGACGGGUGAGUAACACGUGGGUAACCUGCCCUUAAGUGGGGGAUAACAUUUGGAAACAGAUGCUAAUACCGCAUAAAUCCAAGAACCGCAUGGUUCUUGGCUGAAAGAUGGCGUAAGCUAUCGCUUUUGGAUGGACCCGCGGCGUAUUAGCUAGUUGGUGAGGUAACGGCUCACCAAGGCAAUGAUACGUAGCCGAACUGAGAGGUUGAUCGGCCACAUUGGGACUGAGACACGGCCCAAACUCCUACGGGAGGCAGCAGUAGGGAAUCUUCCACAAUGGACGCAAGUCUGAUGGAGCAACGCCGCGUGAGUGAAGAAGGCUUUCGGGUCGUAAAACUCUGUUGUUGGAGAAGAAUGGUCGGCAGAGUAACUGUUGUCGGCGUGACGGUAUCCAACCAGAAAGCCACGGCUAACUACGUGCCAGCAGCCGCGGUAAUACGUAGGUGGCAAGCGUUAUCCGGAUUUAUUGGGCGUAAAGCGAGCGCAGGCGGUUUUUUAAGUCUGAUGUGAAAGCCCUCGGCUUAACCGAGGAAGUGCAUCGGAAACUGGGAAACUUGAGUGCAGAAGAGGACAGUGGAACUCCAUGUGUAGCGGUGAAAUGCGUAGAUAUAUGGAAGAACACCAGUGGCGAAGGCGGCUGUCUGGUCUGUAACUGACGCUGAGGCUCGAAAGCAUGGGUAGCGAACAGGAUUAGAUACCCUGGUAGUCCAUGCCGUAAACGAUGAAUGCUAGGUGUUGGAGGGUUUCCGCCCUUCAGUGCCGCAGCUAACGCAUUAAGCAUUCCGCCUGGGGAGUACGACCGCAAGGUUGAAACUCAAAGGAAUUGACGGGGGCCCGCACAAGCGGUGGAGCAUGUGGUUUAAUUCGAAGCAACGCGAAGAACCUUACCAGGUCUUGACAUCUUUUGAUCACCUGAGAGAUCAGGUUUCCCCUUCGGGGGCAAAAUGACAGGUGGUGCAUGGUUGUCGUCAGCUCGUGUCGUGAGAUGUUGGGUUAAGUCCCGCAACGAGCGCAACCCUUAUGACUAGUUGCCAGCAUUUAGUUGGGCACUCUAGUAAGACUGCCGGUGACAAACCGGAGGAAGGUGGGGAUGACGUCAAAUCAUCAUGCCCCUUAUGACCUGGGCUACACACGUGCUACAAUGGAUGGUACAACGAGUUGCGAGACCGCGAGGUCAAGCUAAUCUCUUAAAGCCAUUCUCAGUUCGGACUGUAGGCUGCAACUCGCCUACACGAAGUCGGAAUCGCUAGUAAUCGCGGAUCAGCACGCCGCGGUGAAUACGUUCCCGGGCCUUGUACACACCGCCCGUCACACCAUGAGAGUUUGUAACACCCGAAGCC